UUUAGACAAAUCAUGAACAAUGCUACGAUUAAAACUUUUGAUUGUAACAUCACAAGUUAUUUAAUUAAAUAUUCCGUAUAUGGGUAUAGUUUAAGCAAUGAUCUGAGCCAAUACUACAAUCUUUAGACGAUAGUCUAAACUAAAUAAAUUUUUAAACGGUUCAGGAAUUCCGUGAAUCUUUUCAUAACCUGCACUAUAGUUUCACGCGUAUUAAAGAUCCGGCGGUGCCUGACAAAGCGCCGGGUGAGUGUUCAUAUCUGCCAUUUUAAAAUAAUGUUAAUAAAUGUAAUUCUGUCCACUAUGGCAAAAUAGGAUUUUAUUUUAGAUUUAGUGGAAUCUUUAACCAAGUCUCUGAUUAAGACAUGUGUAUACGUGCACAGAUGGUGACAGAGAAACUUAUAUAUGACGUUAAUAAUCUUUUAAAUGUUUUUAAGACGUAUUCAUCCCCAUUUUGGGGUUUUAUUUUUAAUUAAAGGCUUCUUAAAACAUGUGUGAAUAUGUGUAUAUUAUACAAAGAGUCUUAUAUUGUCUGCUCUGACAAAAAUAAAGUAUUUUUUUUAGGUUUAGGGGAAUUGACUGCGUGUGUCUUAUAAAUACAACUUGAUAAUACGUUUGUUUUGUAAAGAGACUUCUUUAAAGUCACGCAAGAAUAAAAUAUUUUAGUUGUAACUGGUUAAACUUAAAGCCGAUAUUUUCUAUCGAACUAGUCUAUUUUCUGUUCAGACACAAAGUUUUCUGAUGCUGAUAUUAUGUCAGUGUGUGUUUGUGUGGGGGUCGUGUGAUGUAAUCUUUGAAAGUUUAUGACCGAACCUUUAUUGGGGAGCGACAAGAGAUCUCCCGGAAUCAGUUUGGAUGGAGCAGAGCUGUUAUACUCAAGUCUAUUGGUAUGUAUGUGUUUCGCUGUGUUCGUUCCAGUAUUUUGUAUGAUUUAUUUAAAAACUAAAAAUUCGAUCUCUGGUAUUGCAGCGAAAUUGUCUAAACUGGUAUUAACUAUUCCUGGUAAAUCGCGGAGAAGAGUGGCCUGAACAAAAAAGUCAGACCGAGACUAGAACCUCCCGCAGCGUAACACGGAAAUCUUGGAACAAAAGAGACGCCGACUGGCUCGUGUUGUCCGGUUUGGAUAUCAGAGGCAAAGCGAACGUUGUGUGUACUAUUGCAAAAUAUAUAGCGGAUCUCCACGGUUAGGAUACAGACCACAACGCUUUGGACGUAUCUUUAAAAAAGAUUAAAAUCAGAGACUUUUUGGAUUUGUCUGGGGACAUUUUAAACAUUUUGUGGCAAAUUGGAUUUAAAACAUUUCGGAUACUGGAUACCUAGUUUGAUUUGUCCACAGAGCUUGUUUAAGACGUUUUCACCGCAUUUUAGGGUUUAUUUUUAAUUAAAGGCUUCUUAAAACAUGUGUGAAAAUGUGUAUAUUAUACAAUGAGUCUUAUAUUGUCUGCUCUGACAUAAAUAAAUUUUUAUUUUAGAUUUUA